rnacentral:snRNA from 1 species
CUCUGUUAGAACAAAACGACGU